CCCUGGCGCGCGGGCGUGCAGGACCCGCAGAGAUCUCUGCGUUUCGGAAGCUCUUGGUGUGGCUGCGAGCCGAGCCGAGAGGAGAAGCUGGGCUCGUGGGGUUGCUGCCGCCGUCACAGGAAAUAAGUAACCAUGGUGCUCAACAGUUUGGAUAAGAUGAUUCAUCUCCAGAAAAACACUGCCAACAUCAGGAAUAUUUGUGUUUUGGCUCACGUUGACCAUGGAAAAACUACUCUGACUGACUGUCUUAUAUCUAGCAAUGGAAUCAUCUGCAGCCGCCUAGCAGGCAAGGUACAACUGUAACCGCUAUGAUGAGGAUGAUGCAAAGGCAGCAACAGAUGCACAGGAGCUAAAAGAAUAUCAGCAGAGGAACAGCCUUGGUGAUCCGGCAGGAGCGAAGACAAAAAAGAAAAAAACUGAAAGUAGUACUGAGAAGACCACUUCUGAUUCUCAAAGCAGUUUCAGGGAAAACUUCUCUCCAGGUUUUAUCUGAAGAUAUUUCCUUUUUCACCAUAGGCCUAUAAGUGCACCCGAAUAUCCCUUUGCAAAUUACACAAAAACAGUACUAGCAAACUGCCUAAUGAAAGAAAAAGGUUAACUCUGUGAGGGGAAUUCAAACAACACAAAGCAGUUUCUCAAAAAGCUUCCAUCUAGUUUUCAUCCCAGGAAGUGUCGUUUUUCACCAUAUUUUUCACAGUGUUCCCAAAUGUUUCUCAGAAAGCUUCUUAUCCGUUUGUCUCUGAGGAUAUGUCCUUUCUCACCACAGGCUUCAAAGCACUCCCAAAUAUCCCUUUUUAGCCUUGACACCAAAAGUGUUUCCACACUGCUCUCUGAAAAGAGAGGUAUAACUCUGUGAGUGGAAUGCAUACAUCACAAAGCAGUCUCACAGAAAGCUUCUCUCCUGUUUUUAUCUGGAGUUAUUUCCUUUUUCACCAGAGGCCUCAAAGGGCUCCCGGAUAUGCCUUCUCAGACGACACAGAAAAAGUAUUAUCAAACUGCUAUAUGAAAAGAAAAGGUUAACUCUGUGAGAGGAAUUCACAUGACCCAAAGCAGUUUCUCAGAAAGCUUCCUUCUAGUUUUCAUCUGAGGGUAUUACCUUUUCAACCAUAGUUUUCAUAGCGUUCCCAAGUGUCCCUUCUCAGAUUCCACAAAAACAGUGCAUACAGACUGCUCAAUCCAAAGGGUUGCUUCAUUCUAGGAGGCAAAUACAUAUGUCACAAAGCAGUUUCACAGAAAGCUACGCUCCAGUUUUUAUCUGAAGAUAUUUCCCUUUUCACCAUAGGCUUCAAAGCGCUCCUGAAUAUCCCUUCGCAAAUUACACAGAAAGAGUCCCAGCAAACUGCUCAAACAAAAGUAAGCGUUCACUCUGCAAGGGGAAAUCACACAACACAAAGCAGUUUCUCAGAAAGCUUCCUUCUAGUUUUCAUCCGAGGACGCUUCCUUUUCCACCAUAUUUCUCAUAGUGUUCCCAAAUGACCCUUCUUGGAUUCCACAAAAACAGCCAUUUCAAACUGCUUAAUCCAAAGCGUAGUUUAGCUCUAUGAGGUGAAUACACACAUCACAAAACAGUUACUCAGAAAGCUUCUUUCCAGUUUGUUUCUGAGGAUAUUUCCUUUCUCACCAUUGGCUUCAAAGCGCUUUGAAAUAUCCCUUGUUAGCUUUUACACCAAAAGUGUGUACACAGUGCUGGAUGAAAAAGGUGGUAUAACUCUGUGCGUGGAAUGUACACAUCACAAAGCAGUCUCUCAGAAAGCUUCUCUCCCGUUUUUAUCUGGAGUUAUUUCCUUUUUCACCAGAGGCCUGAAAGGGCUCCUAUAUACCCUUUCUCAGGUGACACAGAAACAGUGUUAUCAAACUGCUAUAUGAAAAGAAAAGGUUAACUCUGCGAGAAGAAUUCACAUGACCAAAAGCAUUUUCUCAGAAAGCUUCCUUCUAGUUUUCAUCCAAGGACGCUUCCUUCUCCACAAUAUUUUUCAUCGCGUUCCAAAUGUUCCCCUCUGAAAUUCCACAAAAACAGUGAUUUCAAACUGCUCAAUCCCAAGGGUUGCUUAACUUUAGGUGACGAAUACACACAUCACAAGGCAAUUUCUCAGAAAGCUUCUUUUCAGUUUUUCUCUGAGAAUAUUUCCCUUCUCAACAGAGACUUCAAAGCUCUCUGAAAUAUCUGUUGGUACCUUAUACACCAAAGGUAUUUCCACAGUGCAGUAUGAGAAGAGAGGUAUAACCCUGUUAGUGGAGUGCACACAUCACAAAGGAGACUCACAGAAAGCUUCUCUCGAUUUUUUAUCUGGAAAUACUUCUUUUUUGACCAUAGGCCUGAAAGCGCUCCCGAGUAUCACUGCACAGUUUACACAAAUACACCGUCAGCGAACACUUCAGUGAAAGGCAUCUGUUAACACUGCGAGAUUGUUUCACACGACACAGAGCAGUUUCUCAGAAAGAUUCUGUCCAGUUUUCAUUUGAAGAUAGUUGUUUGCUCAACAUAGGCCUCAGGGCACCACCGAAUGUGCUUUCGUGGAUUCCUCAAAGACAGAGUUUCCAAAUUGCGCAAUGUAAGGAAGCUUUAUCUAGAUGAGUUGAAUGAACAUAUCACAAAGCAGUUUCUCAGAAAGCUUCUUUCCAGUUUUUAUCUGAGGAUAUUUCCUUUUUCACCUUAGGCUUCAGUGAGCUCCGAAAUAUCCCUUGGUAGCUUUUUCGCUAAAAGUCUUUCCAUCCUGCUCUAUGAGGAGAAAUGUAUUACUCUUCGAGUGGAAUGCACACAUCACAAAGCAGUUUCUCAGAAAGCUUCCUUCUAGUUUUUUCAUCCAUGGAUGCUUCCUUUUCCACCAUAUUUCUCAUAGAGUUCUGAAAUGACCCUUUUCGGAUUCCACAAAAACAGCCAUUUCAAACUGCUCAAUCCAAAACGUGGUUUAGCUCUAUGAGAUGAACACACACAUCACAAAGAAGUUACUCAGAAAGCUUCUUUCCAGUUUGUUUCUGAGGGUAUUUCCUUUCUCGCCAUUGGCUUCAAAGCGCUUCGAAAUAUCCAUUGUUAGCUUUAACACCAAAAGCGUGUACACAGUGCUCGAUGAAAAGGGUGGUAUAACUCUGUGCGUGGAAUGCGCACAUCACAAAGGAGGUUCACAGAAAGCUUCUCUCCAGUUUUUAUCUGGAGAUAUUUCCUUUUUCACCAGAGGCCUGGAAGGGUUCCCGCAUAUCCCUUCUCAAGUGACACAGAAACAGUGUUAUUAAACUGCUAUAUGAAAUGAAAAGG
ensembl:lncRNA